CAAAGGAGAAAUCCGCUAAAAGAUGGACUCGCGUCCAAUUAGCUAGUUGGUAGGGUAAAGGCCUACCAAGGCGACGAUUGGUAGCCGGACUGAGAGGUUGACCGGCCACAUUGGGACUGAGACACGGCCCAGACUCCUACGGGAGGCAGCAGUGGGGAAUAUUGCACAAUGGGGGGAACCCUGAUGCAGCGACGCCGCGUGAGGGAAGAAGGUUUUUGGAUUGUAAACCUCUGUCCUUGGUAAAGAAGCAAGACGGUAGCCAAGGAGGAAGCCACGGCUAACUACGUGCCAGCAGCCGCGGUAAUACGUAGGUGGCAAGCGUUGUCCGGAAUUACUGGGUGUAAAGGGAGCGUAGGCGGUUAUGCAAGUUGAAUGUGAAAUCUAUCGGCUCAACUGAUAGGCUGCGUUCAAAACUGUAUAUCUUGAGUGAAGUAGAGGCAGGCGGAAUUCCUAGUGUAGCGGUGAAAUGCGUAAAUAUUAGGAGGAACACCAGUGGCGAAGGCGGCCUGCUGGGCUUUAACUGACGCUGAGGCUCGAAAGCGUGGGUAGCAAACAGGAUUAGAUACCCUGGUAGUCCACGCUGUAAACGAUGAUUACUAGGUGUGGGGGGACUGACCCCUUCC
rnacentral:rRNA from 1 species